UUAACCCAUUUAACAACUCAACCCAUCAAACUAAAUGAGUUAUAGGUUGACCAACCCAUUUUGUUAAAUGGGUUGGUCAACCUAUAACUCAUUUAACCCUAAACUCAUUUGAUUAUGAGU
rnacentral:pre_miRNA from 1 species